rnacentral:rRNA from 1 species
AUGUUCUCGUCGCAGUCCCUCAGCCGCGUCAACAACAUUCGCACGACGCUGAUCAACGCGCAGAAGGGCAACCAAUCGGUGUCCUCCUUCUUCGCCACCAUGAGAGGGCUCACUGAUGAACUCGCCGCGGCGGGGAAACCAAUCCAAGACGACGAGCUCAUAUCCUACAUCAUCCACGGGCUGGAACAAGACUACCAGCCCCUCGUCUCCGCCCUGGACGCUCGUGUCACUCCGGUAACCCUUGAUGAGCUCUUCGCUAUGCUUAGCAAUUUUGACCAGCGUAUGGCGCAAUUUCACGGCUCCGGU